rnacentral:tRNA from 1 species
GGAGAGUUGUCCGAGUGGCCUAAGGAGCUGGUCUCGAAAACCAGUGUACCUACCGGUACCUAGGGUUCGAAUCCCUAACUCUCCG